rnacentral:rRNA from 1 species
AUGGGAGGCGGUGGCGCCGGGCGACGCGGCGGUGAACGCGCGGAAGGACAAAAUGGCGCGCGCGUUGCUUAUCGGGCGUUGCCGGAGGAUGUGCUGCUGCAGGUGUCGACGAAGCUCACCGCCAGGGAGGUAUGGGACUCCCUGAAGGUGAGGUUCGUCGGCGCUGAUCGGGUCCGCGCGGCGAGGCUGGGGACGCCGCGUGGCGAAUUCGACCGGAUGAAGAUGGCGGACGGCGAGGAGCUCGACGUGUACGGCGGGAGGCUCGCGGCGAUGGGGCGAGGUAUGCCAACCUCGGGGAGACGCUGGGCGACGCAGCACUUGUCAAGAAGUUGCUGGAUACGGUGCCGGAUCGCCUCUUCCCCGUCGUCGCUGGCAUCGAGCAGUUCCACGACGUGA